rnacentral:rRNA from 1 species
GACAGAGGGUGCAAACGUUGUUCGGAAUUACUGGGCGUAAAGCGUGUGUAGGCGGUUUGGCAAGUCGGAUGUGAAAGCCCCGGGCUCAACUCGGGAAGUGCACUCGAUACUGCUAAACUUGAGUGUCGGAGAGGUUGGUGGAAUUCUCGGUGUAGAGGUGAAAUUCGUAGAUAUCGAGAGGAACACCGGUGGCGAAGGCGGCCAACUGGACGAACACUGACGCUGGAGACACGAAAGCGUGGGGAGCAAACAGG